GGUUCGCUGCACGGCGCGUCAGGCAGCCAAUGUCCCUGGGGCCAAUAACAUCCUCUUGGGGGCUGUCCCUGCCGGGACCGUGGUUCCGGCACAUGGCCACCCACCUGCUGACGCAGGCCACAAGAGGACUUGCAACGCCAACGGCCGAGGCGGCGCCGCU
rnacentral:other from 1 species